UGCUGUCUGAGUUCAGCGCUCUCCUUUUAAAUCCCCCUCUCUGUGGUGAAUCAGCACUCGCAGCGCAGCCCUCCGGUGGUACAGCAAGUGGUAGAGAAGUCUACUGAAACAGCCUACAGUAGCAUUUUCCGGCUGUGAGUGGGGCCUUCAUGGAUUCCCCGUACAAUGGCAACACGUCCCUCCAGACCUCCACCUCCAACCUCAACGUCAACUUCUCCCGGCCGACCGAGGUGGAAGAGGAGGGCAAGUACUCCAGCGACGCCAUCUGGCUUUGGGUAGCCGUCAUUGCAACCAUCGGCAACAUAGUAGUGGUAGCAGUGGUUUGCGCCUGUGCCUUCUAAGACCCGUUAGUUACAAGCACACAGCCGAACAUCCCUCUUGCCCCAUCUUUCCUCCACUUUAACCUAUCCCUAUAUUAAUUUUACUCUUGUAAGUGUCCACCCAUAAUAUUAAAGCCAAGGCCCUGUUCUGAGGGUCAAUGGAAUAUGAUAGUGAAAAUAUAGGGACUGGCUUAACUGAUGUUUUCCAGGACUAGGAAUGAGAGAAACAAUCCUCCGUAGUUACCAUACUGUAUCUUAACUUAAGCCUAUGUCUCACACUGUUUUUUUUUUUAAUGAGAAAUGGUGAAGUGAGCUGAUGUGGGCUGUGCCUUUUUAUAAUGAACAUGGUAAAUUAUUUAAGGAAGUGUGCAAUAUAUAAAGCAGUUGAGUGAGCCUCCCUUCUGCUUUCCAAUUGAAGGGUUCACCAGAGGUCAGCCUAAAGGAUUAGGGAAGUGUACAGCUGUGAGAUCCCCUCUGCCUAUGAACCUGAACAGAACACCACAUCAUAUAUCUUUGUCUGGUUGAUGUCAUGUGACUGUUUGUCUGGAAUGGAUGUGUUGAUGCUGCUGUCUUGGUCCAGUUCCCUCUUGAAAAAUAGAUUUUUAUCUCAACAAGACUAACCUGGUUAAAUAAGGGUGAAAUAAAUAAUCAGCAUCUCUCGUUGUGGCUGGCCAUCGUCUCGGAGACCAGUGGAGAGAUAUGUGACAGAUGGUGGCUGGUAGUGGGGCAGAGGGGACAGCGGAGGGGCCCAGGGCAGGCUUGGCAGGGCCCCCAGUACCUGGUGUUAUUUCCUGUGACUGCUGCACCCCUGCACUACCAUUCACCAUUACUGCUCUGUCCUGUCCUCAUCAGCCUGUCAGUGAUAGAAAUCUCCCCAAGCACUUUAUAAAACGCAAUAAAGUGGGGAGUUUUCUUUCAUUUUAACUGCAUUGUUCUGCAGUGGCUGUAGACCUGUGCCAGUUUAACUAUGCAGUAAAGGCAUCCUAUUGGGCACACACUGGUUGAAUCAAUGUUGUUUCCACGUCAUUUCAAUGAAACGACGUUGAGCCAACAUGGAAUAGAUGUCGAAUUGCCGUCUGUGCCGUCAGUGGGAUAGCAGUGGCUAAUGUUUAUGAGUGAGACAAAUGUGUAGAAACACAGUAUCACCCACAAGCCAAAUGAGUGAAUGAAGUUGUCAGCACAAAUCAGAUGUUAUACCACCCCUGCUGACAUUCUGAAAUUACGGAACCACCAAUUACAUCACACUAAAUCAUUGAGCCGCCCACCAUUACCAGACCACUGCUACAACAACCUCAAGCUGUUGAGCUAGCAAUCAAAUGAUUUCUCUCGUCAUAAGAAACCCCAUUGCUGUUAACGUUAGUUUUUUAGUUGCUGUGCCAGGCAGGCAGAAUCUCACAUUCUCCUCAGAAUGUCUCUCAGUAGACUAGUGUGUGUGUGUAGGUGGCAGCAGCCCCAGUAGUUCCGUGCUGUGCUGUCUCCCAUGCACCCAGUGGAGCCGGGCCACAGACUUGUCAAACGGCAGGGCUUUAAUGAGAUGUAAUGCCUCUCUCUCUCUUUCCUAAAGCGAACACUGACCUCCCGUUGCGCUGUGGUGAUCAGAACAGAGCUGAUCCCUGCUGCACUCAGCUGCUCUGAACAAAGAUAGUGCUUCAAGUGCAUUUUUAGAGUGUGACUUCCUCAUUUAAUCAGCACUAGUUGAUAGAGAGAAGGGGGAAGGAGAGAGGAGUAGACGAGAGGAGUGACUGCAUGGGAAUUGAUUUAUAACAGCCAACUUCCAUGUCAUCUCUUUGAAAUACAAAACUUUUUUUGAAGUUGAAUGGAAAAUUCCAUUAUUUUUAUUGAAACCAACGAAGUGGAAUAAAAAGUUUGAAAAUGGAGAGAUUUAGGAUCAAAGGUCUGUCUGAGCCAUCACUUCACACAGCUAAUUGCCCUGAUCUCACUGUACAGUAGAGUUAAUGAAAACAAGAGACCGAUUCAUCAUGGCAUCUCUGAGCGGUCCUUUUCAGGGUCCUUAGAGAGUUUAGCCAGAAACCUGCGGGAACAUUAAUCCGUUGUCUGUUACAAUAAACAACAACAAUCGCACUGAAUGGGGUCUUCAUAAGUAUCUGCUGGCAAUACCUCAAUAUGAUGCUAACAAGUUAGUAUUAUACAUCCCCACUAUAUGUAGUUGCUUUAAUACUGUAACUAUUCUGAAGCAAAAUUCAUAUGAACUAGGUGAGGAAUCCCAGGUAGCUAUAAUAGGAAUUUCUUCUACCCUUGUAUCGGCUGUGUGCUUUGACAUGGGACUGGUUAAGGCUCAGGUGCCCACUGUCUACGGCUCAAAUUAUGUGCCUGAACUGACUAACACAACUCCUACCCGUCAACUUCUUAUUGACCAUGGACGCCCCUUGACCACCAUGGAUGAUGGUCCUCCUAAACACCACAAAACGUCAUCACAGCCUCAAGUCCAGAGCACUAGACCGUGCUUUCUGCAUUGGCACUGGCCUCUGACCCGAGGCAGGGCACCUCAUGCCCACAUGCCUAUUCCUUCCCAGGCAACAAGAAAUAGUCCGGUCAUUGCUGGGGAAAUGGACAAGUCACUCCUACGAGAGGAGAAUUGUAGGAGCAAGGAGCAGCUGGACUCCCAGGAAUUUUCCAUCCUUCCUCGGGCCUCCAGGAAUAUAUAUGCUAAUUAAAGCUGACUUCCUAUAUCUUGAGUACAGCAGAAACAGUAUGGUUGACUAGGGACUGUGACUUUAUAAAAGCACCCAGAGGAAACCCAUAAAGACUACAUGGAGGCUGGGAGGAAUAUUGUGGAUAGGUGGGACUUGAGAGGUGACAGUAACAGACAUCAUAUUUAUGACUUCAACAAAUAAUACCAUAUCUUAUUCAAGGUUACUUGUAGUUAACUUUAUUUGGAAUGUGCUGUGACUCAUGACACUCAAAGGACCUAGAAAGUAUGUCUUGUAUGUCUUGUUUUGAAAUUGAUUUUCUGACAGCGAUUCACAUAUUCAUUGCAAUGAAUGAAUGGAUAUUUAUCGACUUCGUUGACUCUGAAGCCUUGGAUUCUACAUUUCUGUGCAUCCAGUUGCAGUGUUGUAAGUUCUGAAAGCUCCCUGUAGGUGUCAGGGUUACCGCUAUGAAAUACUGAUUAACAGAAAGGCUGUUGGCUAAAUACAGGAGCUGUAUUAGUUCAAUUAAUUCACAAUGUUCAUUCACAAAAGCAUUCUAUAACAAUUUACUUCCUACAAAAUACUGCACAGAGUCAUGUCACUGCAAUUGUUUUAAAUUACAUUUCUAGAGGGGGAGGGGAACACUUACUGUCUUGACUUUCCAUAAAUGUAUGACCUACUUUGAAAAGAUAUCUUGUAAAAAAAAAGAGAAGGAAAUCUAACAUUUGGGGGUUUUCUUUUCAUUUCAGUAUGUGUAAAAGCAUGAUUGCAAUGUACAGUAUAAACACUAUGGGGGUUAUUCAUUUUUAUUUUUAACAUGAUAUUUCAGGCUCAUUAUUAUUUUGUUCCCAUGCUAGAUUAACCAAAACAUGCGCACACACGCGUUGUGAAACGUGGCUUGCAUUACAUGAGCCAGGAUUCAAUAUGUGUACCUUUAUAAGGAUAAUGGAUGUGUACACGUCAGUAAAUUAGGCCAGCUCUGUUGUUCAUAUGCUCCUCAAUACCAGUAGUCCCAACAUCCAAGCCAUGUGUACAUGCUCAUCGCAAAGACAUCUUAAUAUGGAAAACACUUAAAUGCAGCUGGUGCGAGACCACAUGACAGUUCAACCAUGAUCAUUUUCUUGUGUUUUCAAUUUCUUUUGUGAUAUUUUGAUUUAGUAUGAGCUUACUUAGCGUGUUUGCAUGUAUUGUGUUACUUCCGUCCCAAAAUGUUGUUCGUCGACAUCUCUGCAAGCUGCGUUCCAGUAAGGGAUAAAUAAUGUAAUAAUCAUGAUCUUAUGGAAUAUUGAUUGGAUGAUUCAUUACUUUGUACAUGUAGAACUAAUGUGGAAUAUUUUUUGUAAACUUUUUAUUGAUCAUGUACAUUUUUCCAAUGUUUUAGCAAUUGUCAGUGCAGAAAAAUUGCUGCUAUAGUCAUGAUGUGUUUUUUUUACACACUCUUGCAAGUGAACAGAAAAGCUUAGAAGUAAACAUGUUUUUACCUGCAUAAUAAAAAAAUCUAUAUUGUGUGUUAACCUCAUGAUUUACCAUCCUGUUUAAUUCAAUUAAAUUGAUAAGAAUGUG
rnacentral:lncRNA from 1 species